rnacentral:rRNA from 1 species
CCUACGGGGGGCUGCAGUAACGAAUCUUCCACAAUGCACGAAAGUGUGAUGGAGCGACGCCGCGUGUGGGAUGAAGUCCUUCGGGAUGUAAACCACUGUCAGGGGAUCUACCCCAGAGGAAGUGGCGACUAACUCUGUGCCAGCAGUCGCGGUAAUACAGAGGCCACAAGCGUUAGACGGAAUCACUGGGCUUAAAGCGUGUGUAGGCGGGAUGGUAAGUACCUUGUGAAAUCCCACAGCUUAACUGUGGAAAUGCUCGGUAUACUGCCGUUCUUGAAUCACCUAGGGGCAGCUGGAACAGAUGGUGGAGCGGUGAAAUGCAUGAUAUCAUCUGGAACGCCAAUGGUGCAGACAAGCUGCUGGGGGUUUUGACGCUGAGGCACGAAAGCCAGGGGAGAAACGGGAUUAGAUACCCUUGUAGUC